rnacentral:misc_RNA from 1 species
CUGUCCGAGCGUCAUUGCGAACCCCUCAAGCACGGCUUGUGUGAUGGGCCUCUCGCGUCCUGGGAUCCCCCGGGACGGGUCCGAAUAGCAGUGGCGGCGACGCGGUUUAUCCGAUCAGCCAGAGCGUAUGGGGACUCUCCGUCACACGUCUCGCGGCGCGGACCGACGUCUGCCUAUUGAUCAAUCUUUUCUCGGUUGACCUCGGAUCAGGUAGGGAUACCCACUGAACUUAAGC